UACGUAGGGUGCGAGCGUUAAUCGGAAUUACUGGGCGUAAAGCGUGCGCAGGCGGUUCGUUGUGUCCGUCGUGAAAGCCCCCGGGCUUAACCUGGGAACUGCGAUGGAAACUAGCGAGCUGGAGUGUGGCAGGAGGGGGGUGGAAUUCCGCGUGUAGCAGUGAAAUGCGUAGAGAUGCGGAGGAACACCGAUGGCGAAGGCAGCCCCCCUGGGCUAACACUGACGCUCAGGCACGAAAGCGUGGGGAGCAAACAGG
rnacentral:rRNA from 1 species